UGUUAAACACCUUCAUAACCCACUUCUAAAUGUAAUUGAAGCUGACAACAGAAGGAUAAGUAAGAAGUGAAUAAAUGAAGAAAAGGGAGAAUCUUCUUCUAUUUGGAAAGAAUGGGACUUUCAGAACUCCUAAUGCUUAGUUUUUGAAAAAACAGAAAGAAAACUGGAUGGUGUGUUCAAGAAUCAGUCCUUGGGAAUAUUGUUGGUGAACAUGGCAGAGGUGUUGUCUUCCAGGAAGGGACAAGCAGAGCAGUGCUUCAUCUUGCAUCUACCUGUCGCUGAAUUCUGGACCUCCCACUAAAAUCAGCUGUACCUUCGGACCAAAAAAUUCCUUGUUUCUCUGCUACCACAUUCCUUACACUAAGAACAACAACAACAAAAAGAUUCCUCCUUCUAUGAUCAAGAAGCAGCAUAGAUGCUCAGGUAAAAAUUUUCAGAUCCAAGUUCUAAUUCCAGGCCUGUUCCCCAUUCAAUAGCAAUUCUGUGAAAAUUAUAGGGGAAAAGGUCAGUAUGUAACACUUCUACAAAUGUACCUACUUACAUUUCACAUCAUUUCCUGCAAUUUCUAAGUGUCAUUUUUAUCCACAAAUGAGUAAUACUU